rnacentral:rRNA from 1 species
GAUGAACGCUGGCGGCGUGCCUAAUACAUGCAAGUCGAGCGAACAGACGAGGAGCUUGCUCCUCUGACGUUAGCGGCGGACGGGUGAGUAACACGUGGAUAACCUACCUAUAAGACUGGGAUAACUUCGGGAAACCGGAGCUAAUACCGGAUAAUAUAUUGAACCGCAUGGUUCAAUAGUGAAAGACGGUUUUGCUGUCACUUAUAGAUGGAUCCGCGCCGCAUUAGCUAGUUGGUAAGGUAACGGCUUACCAAGGCAACGAUGCGUAGCCGACCUGAGAGGGUGAUCGGCGACACUGGAACUGAGACACGGUCCAGACGCCUAAGGGAGGCAGCAGUAGGGAAUCUUCCGCAAUGGGCGAAAGCUUGACGGAGCAACGCCGCGUGAGUGAUGAAGGUCUUCGGAUCGUAAAACUCUGUUAUUAGGGAAGAACAAAUGUGUAAGUAACUAUGCACGUCUUGACGGUACCUAAUCAGAAAGCCACGGCUAACUACGUG